rnacentral:rRNA from 1 species
UUCUAGGGCCAUAUUACCCUGAAAGUGCCCAAUCCUGUGUGAUCUCAGAAGUUAAGCAGGUCAGGCCUAGUUAUGGGAGACUACCUAGAAUGGAAGACUACCUGGGAGUACCAGAUGCUACAGGCU